rnacentral:rRNA from 1 species
AGAAUUGCAUCUGAAACUGCAAGUCUUGAGUGUAGGAGGGGAGAAUGGAACUUCUGGUGGAGCGGUGAAAUGCGUAGAUAUCAGAAGGAACGCCGGCGGCGAAAGCGAUUCUCUGGCCUAUUACUGACACUCAGUGUGCGAAAGCUAGGGGAGCAAACGGGAUUAGAUACCCCGGUAGUCCUAGCCGUAAACGAUGGGCACUAAGUAGAGGGAAUUACCUAUAUUCUCUCUGCCGUAGCUAACGCAUUAAGUGCCCCGCCUGGGGAGUACGGCCGCAAGGCUAAAACUCAAAAGAAUUGACGGGGGCUCGCACAAGCGGUGGAGCAUGUGGCUUAAUUCGAUGCAACGCGAAAAACCUUACCGGGGCUUGACAUGAUAGAAGUAGGAACCUGAAAGGGGGACGAACGGUAUCCAGUCCGUAGCUAUCACAGGUGUUGCAUGGCUGUCGUCAGCUCGUGUCGUGAGACGUUGGGUUAAGUCCCCUAACGAGCGAAACCCUUGUUUUUAGUUACCAGCGGGUUAUGCCGGGUACUCUAGAAAGACUGCCGUCGUCAAGACGGAGGAAGGUGGGGAUGACGUCAAGUCAUCAUGGCCCUUAUGCCCCGGGCUGCACACGUGCUACAAUGGUCGGUACAGACGGAAGCGAAGCCGAGAGGUGAAGCGAAUCCUAAAAAGCCGAUCUCAGUUCGGAUUGGAGGCUGAAAUUCGCCUCCAUGAAGUUGGAAUCGCUAGUAAUCGCGGAUCAGCAAUGUCGCGGUGAAUAUGUUCCCGAGCCUUGUACACACCGCCCGUCAAGCCACCCAAGCAGGAUGCACCCGAAAACAUUAUAUCUAACCAGGGCAACUUGGAGGAAAAUGUUGAAGGAGUGUUUUGUGAGGAGGACUAAGUCGUAACAAGGUAGUCGUAGGAGAACCUGCGGCUG